rnacentral:rRNA from 1 species
GACGAACGCUGGCGGCGUGCUUAACACAUGCAAGUCGAACGAAGUGGCGAACGGGUGAGUAACGCGUAAUCAACCUGCCCUUCAGAGGGGGACAACAGUUGGAAACGACUGCUAAUACCGCAUACUGAAGGAGGGGAUUGCGUCUGAUUAGCUAGUUGGUGGGGUAAAGGCCUACCAAGGCGACGAUCCGUAACUGGUCUGGGAGGAUGAUCAGGCACACUGGAACUGAGACACGGUCCAGACUCCUACGGGAGGCAGCAGUGGGGAAUAUUGGACAAUGGGCGAAAGCCUGAUCCAGCCAUGCCGCGUGAAUGAAGAAGGUCUUCGGAUCGUAAAACUCUGUUAUUAGGGAAGCGGUACCUAAUCAGAAAGCCACGGCUAACUACGUGCCAGCAGCCGCGGUAAUUC